CGCGAUCAACUUCAGAAACAUUUUCAGAGCUAAUUGCGGAGGCCACGCUCCGCUGUGCUGAGUACGGUGAACGCCACCUAGGUGGCGUUGGUAGUGCUUCUUGAUGCCAGCGUCCCUUCGAAUGCUGGCAUCGAGGCGUCGUCGUGCUGAGACCACCGAAGCGUUCACUGUCGGUGCGCGUUAGUGUCAUAAUGCAGUACUUCUCUUUUCUGCUCGUAGGCGGCGGCACCGCCCCGAGCAAGAGCGCGGGUACACGGAUGAGUGUUAGAUAUAUAAGGCGCGUCUGUGUAGCUCUCUGCAAAUGCGUUUGUGGCGCAAU